rnacentral:lncRNA from 1 species
UAGGUUACAGAGUGGACACAAGUUGGAGCUGCAGCAGAGUCCAUCCAAAGUUUCAGAAGCUGGCUGAGAAAGUCUGCAAUAAGAGGAUAAGGAAGCAGAAGAGGGCUGGGAGGGAGCUGCUGUUGGACCUGCUGCACUCAGGCUUGAAAGGCUGAAGCAAACGGAAUGGGUCAAGAGCUGGAGACAGAUCGGGAGCAAGAAAAGGAAAAAGAUGUCACACAACCUUGGGAAAACACAUGAGCAAGCACGUGCAGGCGUUCCAAUGCUCCAUAAAGAAGCUGUCAUGAGAUUACCACCAUGCAGCUUUUAGACAACAGAAUCAAGCUCACGUGUGAUCCAGACAUCAUGAAGAAUAAGUAAGCUGGCCUCUCUAGACCCCACAGAACCCCAGGAAGAAACUGAGGCUCAGAAAAGCUGCAUGAUCUCUUCUGCCCUAUGGUGACUGUGUUUCUGCAUACCUGCAAAUGUGCCUCUCCAUCCAUUUUCACACUUCUCACAGCUGGGUGAUAGGUGGUGUCAAUCAACACGGCAUGAGGGAUGUUGCAGCCUGGCAAACGACUCAUCCUCACACUGGACCAUACGGCUGUGGGGAAUACAUUUCUGAAAUUUUCUACUUGGGCGGGGUGUGUGUGUGUGUGUGUGUGUGUGUGUGUGUGUGUGUCAUAGAAACCUUCUAGAUGGUUUGUUUUCCCCUCUCAUCCUUUAGCUUCCCAGAGGGCUGUGUUUGUCUCCUUAAGGAAGGAUAAAGAGAAGAGGGGUCUUCAGAGAAAAUAUAGGAUACCAGGUUACCUCUCAAUGAUAGACGCAUACGAGGCUGGCUCUAGGGUCAGGGGCUUCAUCUGAUGAGUAUAGGACUGAAUCGUUGCCAGUACUUCCCUUAUAGACACACUGCUGCAUGAACAUUCUGAGAUAAAAUGAAUCUGUCAGGAUAUGAAGAAAAAAUGGAGCACAUGUGUGCACAUAUCUAAUUGUAAACCAAGAUUGUGGCUUUUAGCAGCUCCUGUUGUCUGGUGUCUCUCAGGUCCGAGUGGGAGGCACAUUCAAUGCUCUGAUAUGGUGAUACAAACGUAAACCAAAACUCUCUAGGGCUGUGACAUGCGUAAUCACUUUUUAGGGCUUCCUAUGACAAGGAGUGUUGCAUUUACAAGCAAGGUCCAAGAGCCUCCAUAUCUAUAUUUGUAAAAAUUUUAGUGCAUAAUAAAUGCUAGGUACCUGCACAUAUAGGCACACAUCUCACACUUCUAAAAAAAAAAUGUCAGCAGGGCACCUAAUAGAGUCUGGGCAAUAGCUU